rnacentral:rRNA from 1 species
CGAAAGCUACGCUAAUACCGCAUACGAUCUAUGGAUGAAAGCGGGGGAUCGCAAGACCUCGCGCGAUUGGAGCGGCCGAUAUCAGAUUAGGUAGUUGGUGAGGUAAGGCUCACCAAGCCGACGAUCUGUAGCUGGUCUGAGAGGAUGAUCAGCCACACUGGGACUGAGACACGGCCCAGACUCCUACGGGAGGCAGCAGUGGGGAAUAUUGGACAAUGGGCGAAAGCCUGAUCCAGCCAUGCCGCGUGUGUGAAGAAGGUCUUCGGAUUGUAAAGCACUUUAAGUUGGGAGGAAGGGUAGUAACCUAAUACGUUGCUACUUUGACGUUACCGACAGAAUAAGCACCGGCUAACUUCGUG